rnacentral:rRNA from 1 species
ACCCCCCGCGAGACAACAGCCCGCCCCCCGCGGCCGGGGCGGCCCCGCAACGGGGGGGAUUUUUUCUGUGGGGGGAGGGGGGGGGGGAAGAGAGAGGAGGAAAAAAGGGGCCCCCCCCCAAUAUACCCAACAAAAACCCCCCCUUUUUCUCCCCCCCGGGGGGGGGGGGGCGGGUUUCUUAUUAAAAAAAAAGGGGGGCCCCCCACCAAGUUUUUUCCGGGGUUGGAAAAAGGGGGGGCCAGGGAGGGCCAAACCCCAAAUUUAAAUUGGGGUUUGGUUCCAUCCCUUUGGGCCCCCCCCCGGGGUUUUCCCCUUUUUUGGUUUCCGGGUUUGUUAUUUUGGGGGGGAAUUGGGAGGGGGGUAACCAAUUUCCCCCCAGGAAAACAAGUUAUGCCCAGGAUUACCCCCAAGCUUAUUUAGGGGACCUUUUAGGGGGAAAGGUUGCCAUGCCUGCAGGUUGGAUUUAGGAGGAUUUAUUAGUCAUAGGGAUUUUUUGUCAUUAGAGGGAAGUAAAAGUCGUACCAAGUUUUCGGUAGGGAACCUGCGGAAGGAUCAUUACCGUUACUUUGUGUCUUGCACACACUGUAAACCACUGUGACCUGUUCCGAGCUGUGGGGGUGUUUCUUCUUUGCAGGAGAAUCUCCAAUGCAGUUAGACAGCCGAGGCUGGCUGCUGCGGCCCCACAUGUCUGUCUCUUAUGUUNUUCAAAACACUCGUCAAUUCAUUCCAGUUGAAUAGUAUCACUCUGGCCAGUCCAGUUUGAUACACAGUUUAAACACAUGACAACUUCUAACGGUGGAUCUCUUGGCUCGUGCAUCGAUGAAGAACGUAGCCAGUUGCGAUAAGUAGUGUGAAUUGCAGAAUUCAGUGAAUCAUCGAAUCUUUGAACGCAAAUUGCGCUCUCUGGAUAUCCAGGGAGCAUGCCUGUCUGAGUGUCGUGAUAAAAACUACACACCCCUGGUGUGGCAUGUGGGUAUCGAGUUUGCAGAUUGCUCAGGCGUUCUGUACUAAACUCGUCCUGCGAAGUGCGUGAACCUGAAUGUGCUGUUGACUGCAUGUGCAUUGGGAAGGCUCAACUUGCUUCUGUCUUUCCCUCUGCGUUCUCAUGCCAGCAGUAUCAUUGUAGAUGGUGAACAAGACGGUGUCCCACCCAUGGGGCGGGCACGAUGUUAAUUUCUGAUUUUGACCUCAGAUCAGACAAGACUACCCGCUGAAUUUAAGCAUAUCAAUAAGCG